GCGCGUCGUACAGCCUGGCUGUUGGAACAUGAAGCGCCGGAUGCGAAAUCAACCGAUGCCAAUAUUGCUUAUUGCAUGGCAAUGACGCCAGGAGCUGAACAAUUAUUACCCGUUUUACAGCGUUAUGGCUUUGAAACGCUCGAAAAACUGGCGGUUUAAUGGCGUUUUGGGUAAAUACCAGGCACUUGAGAAAUUAUUUUAAAUUUCCUCUUGUCAGGCAGAAAUAACUCCCUAUAAUGCGCCACCACUGACACGGAACAACGGCACACA
rnacentral:rRNA from 1 species